rnacentral:tRNA from 1 species
AGUUAAUUAGCUUAAAUAAAAGCAUGUAUUUUGAAAAUACAAGAUAGAUUAUUUUUUAUUAACUU